rnacentral:rRNA from 1 species
CCGGGACGAAUAGCUCGAUUAAUCGAGCCUGACGGUACCGGGUGAGGAAGCACCGGCUAACUCCGUGCCAGCAGCCGCGGUAAUACGGGGGGUGCGAGCGUUGUCCGGAAUCACUGGGCGUAAAGGGCGCGUAGGUGGUUUGAUAAGGGUGUGGUGAAAGCCCGGGGCUCAACCCCGGGUCUGCCGUGCCGACUGUCAAACUCGAGGACUGUAGAGGCAGACGGAAUUCCGGGUGUAGCGGUGGAAUGCGUAGAGAUCCGGAGGAAGACCGGUGGCGAAGGCGGUCUGCUGGGCAGUUUCUGACACUGAGGCGCGACAGCGUGGGGAGCAAACAGGAUUAGAUACCCUGGUAGUCCACGCCGUAAACGAUGGGUACUAGGUGCCUGGGGGAGCGACCCUCUGGGUGCCGGCGCUAACGCAGGAAGUACCCCGCCUGGGGAGUACGACCGCAAGGUUGAAACUCAAAGG